rnacentral:lncRNA from 1 species
AAAAAAAAAGCAUUGGCUGGAAUUGUUGCUGUGUUUCAGAAGAAAUAAGUGCUUCAGACCUGGGAAUUGCUUGUGGCUGAUUAAGAAAUCGCUUAGAUGCCUGAAUUAAUCUGUGUGGUGUCUGCUAGGCCCUGUUCUACGUCCUUUAUGCAUAUGAAUUCAUUGGCUGGACACGGCGACACUGUAAGCCCCUUCUUCAAAGGCAAGGAGCAGUGCAAGAAAGAGAAAAUAAAGAAGGCAUGACCUGUAGCUGGUUCUGCAACAGGACCACCCUCGUGGGAAGGUGCAGGGUGGGCCCCUUGUCACCGGGGCCUCUUGGAGGACUGCACCCUGGAAUCCAGACUGGGGCUUGUCUUUCUUAAAACUCCACUGGGUGCAGCACACUCGGUUUAUGUUGAGCCAUUUUGCAGAAUAUAUAGGAAAAAGAAAUAACGGUCUUGUAAAUAAGUCUCCCAGGUUUGUGCUGAGAACGGCAACUGGUGAUUGUAUGGGAAGCGGAAUCUCCCCUCCCUGACGUGGGGAAAGUCAAGGCUCUAACUCGGUCGGCAGAUGUUUCUGUCCAAGCUUAUGAGCAAUUUAUUGCCACAGUGGCUCCGUUUCUGUUACCACUCAAAUAUUGAAGGUCGUUUGUCGAAGAGGUGGGUUAUCAAAUGGGAAGGAGGAAACAGCGUUAAAACACGUUGAG